GUCCACACUAGACAAGCAGUACACAACAACGGUAAAUCUUCCUUCACAGAUGAACACUACUAUUAAUAAUUUCUUGAAAGACAUUGAGUGUGAAUUUAAGUUACAGGAUGCAUACAGGAGUGUGAAUCCCACAGAGAGACAAUUAGGACUGGAAGAUGCAAGGUGGAAAUUUCUUUUGGUUACAUCCCUUUGACCAAAUUAAUAAAUUUUCAAGACAACCCAAACAGGACAGGAUUUCAUGAAAAUGGAGCAAA